rnacentral:lncRNA from 1 species
GAGUCAACAAUCACCGAAUUUAGUUUGCUUUGAAUACUGAGCCGACAUUGGAGCAAUAGGUCGCCUCCAGAGAGGUCCAAGAGAGCAGAUUCAUGUACCUGUUCAAUUGUUCAUGUCUGGUGGAGUCUGAAGGCUAGAGCCCAGAGGAUUUGUACUCACCAAUUCUUCCUUCGCAUUGUUGACGGGGUGAAAUCGAUGGUGAGGAUGUCUUGGGAGCCGACGUGAUGAAUAAUGCAUAGUAGUGGCC